rnacentral:rRNA from 1 species
GGCCGAACGCUGGCGGCGUGCUUAAUCCAUGCAAGUCGAACGGAAAGGCCCUGCUUUUGUGGGGUGCUCGAGUGGCGAACGGGUGAGUAACACGUGAGUAACCUGCCCUUGACUUUGGGAUAACUUCAGGAAACUGGGGCUAAUACCGGAUAGGAGCUCCUGCUGCAUGGUGGGGGUUGGAAAGUUUCGGCGGUUGGGGAUGGACUCGCGGCUUAUCAGCUUGUUGGUGGGGUAGUGGCUUACCAAGGCUUUGACGGGUAGCCGGCCUGAGAGGGUGACCGGCCACAUUGGGACUGAGAUACGGCCCAGACUCCUACGGGAGGCAGCAGUGGGGAAUAUUGCACAAUGGGCGGAAGCCUGAUGCAGCAACGCCGCGUGCGGGAUGACGGCCUUCGGGUUGUAAACCGCUUUCGCCUGUGACGAAGCGUGAGUGACGGUAAUGGGUAAAGAAGCACCGGCUAACUACGUG